rnacentral:rRNA from 1 species
AGUGAACGCUGGCGGUAGGCCUAACACAUGCCAGUCGAACGGCAGCACAGUAAGAGCUUGCUCUUACGGGUGGCGAGUGGCGGACGGGUGAGGAAUACAUCGGAAUCUACUUUUUCGUGGGGGAUAACGUAGGGAAACUUACGCUAAUACCGCAUACGACCUACGGGUGAAAGCAGGGGAUCUUCGGACCUUGCGCGAUUGAAUGAGCCGAUGUCGGAUUAGCUAGUUGGCGGGGUAAAGGCCCACCAAGGCGACGAUCCGUAGCUGGACUGAGAGGAUGAUCAGCCACACUGGAACUGAGACACGGUCCAGACUCCUACGGGAGGCAGCAGUGGGGAAUAUUGGACAAUGGGCGCAAGCCUGAUCCAGCCAUACCGCGUGGGUGAAGAAGGCCUUCGGGUUGUAAAGCCCUUUUGUUGGGAAAGAAAAGCAGCAGGUUAAUACCCCGCUGUUCUGACGGUACCCAAAGAAUAAGCACCGGCUAACUUCGUG